UACAGAGGUCCCAAGCGUUGUUCGGAUUCAUUGGGCGUAAAGGGUGCGUAGGCGGUGAUGUAAGUUGGAUGUGAAAUCCCGGGGCUCAACCCCGGAACUGCAUUCAAUACUGCAUUGCUAGAGUACUGGAGAGGAGAUUGGAAUUCACGGUGUAGCAGUGAAAUGCGUAGAUAUCGUGAGGAAGACCAGUGGCGAAGGCGAAUCUCUGGACAGUUACUGACGCUGAGGCACGAAGGCCAGGGGAGCAAACGGG
rnacentral:rRNA from 1 species